rnacentral:tRNA from 1 species
GGGCCCGUAGCUCAGCAAGGUAGAGCGGCGGACUGAAGCUCUUAACCCGAUGGUCAGGGGUUCAACUCCCCUCGGGCCCGCCA